rnacentral:lncRNA from 1 species
UCGACUCACAACCACUACACUCUUACAAGCCUUUGAAAACCUCUCACCCCUCUAAAACAAAGAGCAAGGAAUUUCAAACUAGAAGUAAUCACAAGACUAAAGGUAGUGAUUGGUGCAAUUGUAUCAAAGACCUUGGAACUCCUUAAAUAGCCUAAGGGUCUCCACCUACUUUGAUAGCAAAACCAAUGUGGGACAAAAACCCCACUUUCAUUUUUAACACAAUUCCAACAAUCUCCACCUUGUUAAAAAUGAAAGAAAAAACGCCAUUGUCUUCACCGACAAUUAUGAUUCUUAUCACAAAGAACCAUCAUCCUCAAAAGAGAAUAAACCUACUCCACCAAAUGAGUAGAACACUUAGAAUAAACCAUUCUAAGAAUUUUACUUCGGCACAUGUCGAAAAAACCUUGCUGAAAUUUUUGGUGCAACCUUCUAGCUUUUGGCCCUCCUAGAAGUCAUCAGCCAUCGACAUACUUUCACCACACACCUGCAUCCAUGCCAAAAACCAUGCACAUGUGGUCCAACUAACAUCGUCACAUCCUCUAUCAUGGCCAUUGGACAUGCCAUAAGG